AGCUAUCAUAUUAAACAGGGAAUGACUAAAAUAUUGAAUUAUGACAGAUAGUUCGACCGGUCAGGAUUAAACCGGGGUUUUUGAAUCGGUGUGACAAAUUCGUAAUCCGGAGACGUGCAAUGAAUUUCGCGCCCGGUAGUGUGACAGUCCAGUUUAAUUUUAGUACACUCUCUUCCCCACUAAUCAACAAACCCUAAUUUUCUCGAGAAACCAAAUCCGCCACGAAUCUAGGCAUUCUCCGUCACCAGCAAGAUGAAGGGGGAGGGACGAUACAGAUCAGCUGGCACGAGGGAAGCCUGUGAUAACCCUUGAUUUUCAUCCGAUUUCCGGUUUACUCGCCGCCGCCGGAGCCGAUUACGAUAUCAAGGCUAUGGCUAUUAAACUCUGGUCAGCUUCCUAGUGUAUCUUACCAGAGCAGCCAUGGAUAUGCUGUGAAUACAUUUCGUUUCUCUCGCGCUCUGGAGGCGAGCUUAUCAUACGGAAGUUGUUGCAUCCUAGUGAAACCAAUCAGACAACUAUCCCUUAUAAACAAGUCCUGCUUCGAUCAUCACAUAGUUCAUCCGGAUAUUAAUUAUGUUUCUGAUAUUAUCGCUGAAUUUCAUCUGCAGACUCAUUCAAGCAUUCACCUAUUUCCGAAGCUGUAAAUGCUACUUUUAUGUAUUUUCUAGGAAGGAAAAUAACCAUCUCUUGUUUGCUGUGGAACAUAUUGUAAGCGAGGGCUUAUCCAUGAUAUAAUUAGAAAGCAAUUCAAAGUCAGGAAAGAAACUAGUGGAUGGCGAAGAGAAGAAGCAAUGUUCUAGAGAAACCGGAUGAGCUGAUGACCGAGACAAUACCAGACGAGACAAAGUAAACAGGCUAGCUGAAUCAAAACAAGACGAAGAGAAAGAAAAACCAUUUCCCAGUGAGCGCGUCUACGUCUAAGAUAACAUCUCUUGUUUGGAACAUAUUGUAAGCUGUCUACGUUUUUUUUUCUAAAAGCUGAGCCAAAUGAACAUUUCAAUUGUUUGAGCUUAUGAAUACUUACUCUUGUUCGGAACUCAAUUUGAAGAUGAUACACUUGUUUCAGCUUCUUUUAAGAUAGAAAUCAAGGCCUUUGAGAUGUAA